UACAGAGGUCUCAAGCGUUGUCCGGAUUUAUUGGGCGUAAAGAGCGUGUAGGCGGCCAGGUAGGUCUGGUGUGAAAACUCGAGGCUUAACCUCGAGAUGUCAUCGGAAACCAUCUGGCUAGAGUCCGGAAGAGGAGAGUGGAAUUCCUGGUGUAGCGGUGAAAUGCGCAGAUAUCAGGAAGAACACCAAUGGCGAAAGCAGCUCUCUGGGACGGUACUGACGCUGAGACGCGAAAGCGUGGGGAGCGAACAGG
rnacentral:rRNA from 1 species